GACGCAACGCGAAGAACCUUACCUGGGCUAGAAUGCCUCUGACAGCCCCAGAGAUGGGGUCUCCAGGGUAAAACCUGGCAGAGUGCAAGGUGCUGCAUGGCUGUCGUCAGCUCGUGUCGUGAGAUGUUGGGUUAAGUCCCGCAACGAGCGCAACCCUUAUCAAUAGUUGCCAGCGGUUCGGCCGGGCACUCUAUUGAGACUGCCGUUGACAAAACGGAGGAAGGUGGGGAUGACGUCAAGUCCUCAUGGCCUUUAUGUCCAGGGCUACACACGUGCUACAAUGGCCGGUACAAAGCGCUGCAAACCUGCAAGGGGGAGCCAAUCGCAAAAACCCGGUCUCAGUUCGGAUUGGAGUCUGCAACAAGACUCCAUGAAGUUGGAAUCGCUAGUAAUCGCAGAUCAGCACGCUGCGGUGAAUACGUUCCCGGGUCUUGUCCACACCGCCCGUCACAUCACGAAAGUGGGUUGUACUAGAAGUCGUCGCGCCAACCCGUAAGGGAGGCAGGCGCCCU
rnacentral:rRNA from 1 species